GGGAUGCAAGUAAUUCCGUGAAUGCAUUGAUUGGAAUGGACUUCUCCCAAUACGAGAAGAGGAGGGUAGAAUCACCUGAUGACAUCAAUUUAGCAGGUGAUUCUGUUGAUGAUUCUAAUUUCUUUGACGAUUACUUCGAGGGCGAAAGUUCUGAGAUGUACGACUAUCAAGUUGAUUGGGGGAUGCCAGAUAGUUCUAGCCCGCUGCACCCAGUUUAUUUUGCUAAGUGCUUGACUAAGGCUGUUCACAAGAAACAUGCUAAGAUGAUGGAUCAUCCAUCAAAUGGCAUUUCAAUUUGGGGACGCCUCAAGCCUGCCUUUCUGGAAGAAGAAUAUUACGUGCGAAGGCUCUUCAGUGGCGAUGAAGUUAGUGACGGCUCCACCUUGGAUUGGAAAGAUGGAGAAAUUUUGAGCUUUAGUUCAAGAUAUGACAAGAGCCGCACUUUGUCUUCUAUCUACAGAUUGGAAAUCAUGAGAGUCGACCUAUUUUCUGUGUAUGGUGCUCAGUUAGCAGUAAAUUUGUAUGACUUCCAUGAUGCUGAGCCUGACAGUCUUGUAUACUCAGCUCCAGC
rnacentral:misc_RNA from 1 species